GAGUUUGAUCCUGGCUCAGGACGAACGCUGGCGGCGUGCCUAACACAUGCAAGUCAAGGCGUAGCUUCGGCUACGACUGGCGCACGGGUGAGUAACGCGUAGGUAACCUACCCCUACCCCUGACAUAACACCGAGAAAUCGGUGCUAAUAUCAGAUGAGGAGCCGAAAGGUUCCAAAGGGGCAACCCGGGUAGGGAUGGGCCUGCGUCCGAUUAGGUAGUCGGUAGGGUAAUGGCCUACCAAGCCGACGAUCGGUAGCUGGCCUGAGAGGGUGGUCAGCCACACUGGGACUGAGACACGGCCCAGACUCCUACGGGAGGCAGCAGUGAGGAAUAUUGGGCAAUGGGCGAAAGCCUGACCCAGCGACGCCGCGUGUGGGAUGACGGAGCUCUGCUUCGUAAACCACUGUCGGAGGGGAAGAAAAGCGGGGACGCCCCGCUGGGACUGUACCCUCAGAGGAAGGAUCGGCUAACUACGUGCCAGCAGCCGCGGUAAAACGUAGGAUCCGAGCGUUGUCCGGAAUCACUGGGUGUAAAGGGUGCGUAGGCGGGCUUGCGCGUCAAGGGUUAAAGACCUCGGCUCAACCGAGGGAAUGCCCUUGAUACGGCAGGUCUUGAGUGCGGG
rnacentral:rRNA from 1 species